AUUGAACGCUGGCGGCAUGCCUUACACAUGCAAGUCGAACGGCAGCACGGGGCAACCUGGUGGCGAGUGGCGAACGGGUGAGUAAUGCAUCGGAACGUACCUUUCAGUGGGGGAUAACGUAGCGAAAGUUACGCUAAUACCGCAUGUUCUGUGAGCAGGAAAGCAGGGGAUCGCAAGACCUUGCGCUGAUUGAGCGGCCGAUGUCAGAUUAGCUAGUUGGUGAGGUAAAGGCUCACCAAGGCGACGAUCUGUAGCGGGUCUGAGAGGAUGAUCCGCCACACUGGACCUGAGACACGGUCCAGACUCCUACGGGAGGCAGCAGUGGGGAAUUUUGGACAAUGGGGGCAACCCUGAUCCAGCCAUGCCGCGUGAGUGAAGAAGGCCUCCGGGUUGUAAAGCUCUUUCGGCCGGGAAGAAAUCGCACGGGCUAAUACCCUGUGUGGAUGACGGUACCGGAAUAAGAAGCACCGGCUAACUACGUGCCAGCCGCCACCGUAACAC
rnacentral:rRNA from 1 species